rnacentral:rRNA from 1 species
UACAGAGGUGGCAAGCGUUGUCCGGAAUUAUUGGGCGUAAAGAGCUCGUAGGUGGUUUGUUACGUCCGCUGUGAAAACCUAGGGCUUAACCCUGGGCUUGCAGUGGAUACGGGCAGACUAGAGGUAGGUAGGGGAGAAUGGAAUUCCUGGUGUAGCGGUGAAAUGCGCAGAUAUCAGGAGGAACACCGGUGGCGAAGGCGGUUCUCUGGGCCUUACCUGACACUGAGGAGCGAAAGCGUGGGGAGCAAACAGG